AAGCCCGAACAGCUCAAGUGAAAGUGAACGGAUAUGAACACCACAACCCUCUCAGGGGAUGUUGGCUGAUCAGGAUACCCAAUUCUCAAACAAGAAUGCUGAGAUACCCAAGAUAUGGAACUUCACCCCUAAGCUAGACCACCAGGUGAACAUGUCAAAGGUGCAGUUGGACAAGAUGAAGCCAUGAAUUGUCACACAGGUCACUGAGCUUCUUGGGUUUGACAAACUACCUAACUGCUAUUGACCUGAAUUUAGUUUUAUCUGAACUAAGAACACCUGAUGUGCUGCUUUAACAAAGAAUUACUCAUUUGGUGUUCUUUUGCACUGUUGAUUUUUGUUCAAAAUGGUGUGAGUGCGACCUCUUUGUCAUGUUAGAUAAGCCUUUCUGUAUCACAUGGAUGUGAUAUGUAGUAUGGUGUACAAAAGUGAUGAAAGGUAUUCGUUGGAAUUCAUUUGGCAGCAACAGUUUAUCAA